CAGACAUAACGACUGCAGAAACUCACAGAACAUCUGGGUGUGGACAGUCUGGCUGCCCAAGCCAAGAGAGGAUGCCUCUGCUCCUGGGAUCUUGAAACAAGCAAAGAAGAUGGCAAGGCACAGAUCCUGCAAGGACUCUGACCGGAAGGUGCCUCCCAGCAGGAGGAAUAAAAAAUGCAGGGUCGUCUAUGACAUGCCACUAAAGAAAAAGAAAGGGUAUGUACGUGUCUGUGCCACAUACUACUACUGGAGAGGAGGGAAAAAGUAAUUUCCAGGGAUUUCUCCUGCUUGGAAAUUCUAUCUUUGACAUCACACAAUCACCUCCAGGCAUCUUCUAUGACAAGGAAGCUCGGCAAAUAAGACAUCAAUGAGCUGAGAGAAGAUGGCAAGAUCCAGGAGCUCUCCUAUUACAGCAGCAAUGGCUCAACCUCUCUGACUGUUAAUAAACUCAUAUAAAAAAGCA